rnacentral:pre_miRNA from 1 species
UACAAUGCUUUGACUCUUCGUCUUAUUUAAAUUUUUUUUACGAUUAACAUUAUUAUUGUUAUUAGAUGAUAAAACAUGAAUAGUAAUUUAUAUGUGACUAAUUUUUUUAAGUUUUUAUAUAAUUUUUUUAAAUAAGACGAAUGGUCAAACGUUGGACAAAGAAAUUGA